CGAGCUCCUACAGCAGGUGACUUCCGCCUGAAACGUCAGCACCGAAGUGUCCGACAACAGUAGAUUCAUCAGCGACCUCGGAACAUCCGAGCCUCUCCUAGAACGACGAUAUAAAGAGCCAUUCUGCUCCAUCAGGCAUCUCAGCCGAGCUUCAGCCGACAGAUCCGAACUCUCUGGCAAGCCACAACAAGGGCCACUACCUUACUCCACUCGCUGCAACGGAUUCCAUGCGGUCCUACCACUCUCUGACAAGCCACGACAAGAGCCACCAUCCUGCUCCACUCUCUGCAACGAAUUCCAUGCAGCUCCACCACUCUCUGACAAGUCCCGACAAC
rnacentral:lncRNA from 1 species